GCGGAGGUUGCUGCAAAGCAUGGUGAGGCCCAGGUGAAGAUCUGGAGGCGCUCCUAUGAUGUCCCACCACCUCCGAUGGAGUCCGACCAUCCUUUCUACAGCAACAUCAGUAAGGAUCGCAGGUAUGCAGACCUCACAGAAGAUCAGCUACCCUCUUGUGAGAGUCUGAAGGACACUCUUGUCAGAGCUCUGCCCUUCUGGAAUGAAGAAAUAGUUCCCCAGAUCAAGGAGGGGAAACGUGUACUGAUUGCAGCCCAUAGCAACAGCCUCCGGGGCAUUGUCAAGCAUCUGGAGGGUCUCUCUGAAGAGGCUAUCAUGGAGCUGAACCUGCCGACUGGUAUUGUCUAUGAAUUGGACAAGAACUUGAAGCCUAUCAAGCCCAUGCAGUUUUUGGGGGAUGAAGAGAUGGUGCGCAAAGCCAUAGAAGCUGUGGCUGCCCAGGGCAAGGCCAAGAAGUGAAUGCCAGCGGGGAGGAUAGUGUCCCCAGGAGCACCCUCCCUGCGUGUCUUGUCCCUCUGCCCCUCCCAUCUGCACAUGUCACACUGACCACAUCUGUAGACAUCUUGAGUUGUAGCUGCAGAUGGGGACCAGUGACUCCCAUUUUCAUUUUAGCCAUUUUGUCUCCUGCACCCACUCCCUUCAUACAAUCUAGUCAGAAUAGCACUUCUAGAGCACAGAUUCUCAGUCCAAGCUGUGGAAAAGCUCCCCUUAUCCAACAGAGUUUAAAAGUAGUGACUUGGAUUUUUGUGAGUUGCUUUGUUUACUAAGGACUUGUGGGGAGGAACCAUGCUAAGCCAUGACCAAUGAGGAGAAGCAACAGAGUUUGUCUGUCCCCAAGAGCCAGUCCUCUGCUCUUCUGCAGUCAGGCCACUGCCUGGGGGCUCUAGUCAUUCCAGUGGAAGAUGAAUGUAACCUGCAUGGUGAUGUGACAACUGUUUCCUCCCUGACCCCAGAGGAGCUGGCUCUAGAAGGUUGGGAUCAAUCCUGAAUUUAGUUAUGUGUUACAUUUAAUUUAAAAAGUAUAGUAUAUAUAAAUAAUACAAAACAAUAACCCUUCUGGGGUUUCUUGUGGCGGUUGAAAUAGUCCCACAUGUGGUCAUCAGAAAAUAAGCCAUUCCUCAUACCAAUAUAGCAAGAUCAGCUCCUUGACCUCUGAGGGGAGGGAGUGCUUCCUGGUGUGUUUAUUAGAAUCCCUUCCUGCCUUGUUUCGUGGCAGUGAAAUGCCUCUUGGUCCUGUCCAAGUGUGUCUUUCACUGAUUUCUGAAUCAUGUUCUACUUGCUUGGCCCUGCCACAUGGGUCCAAUGUUCAUCUGAGCAUAAUUGUAAUAAAUCCUUUUUCCAGAUCAGUAUAAUAAAAGGAGUGAUGUGAAA